rnacentral:rRNA from 1 species
UCAUGGUAUUGCCCAGUAGCGGCGAGUGAGCGGCAAGAGCUCAGAUUUGGAAUCGUGUUUCGGCACGAGUUGUAAAUUGCAGGUUGGAGUCUUUGUGGAAGCGUGUGUCCAAGUCCCUUGGAACAGGGCGCCAUUGAGGGUGAGAGCCCCGUGGGAUGCGCGCGGAAGCAGCAAGGCCCUUCUGACGAGUCGAGUUGUUUGGGAAUGCAGCUCUAAGCGGGUGGUAAAUUCCAUCUAAGGCUAAAUACUGGCGAGAGACCGAUAGCGAACAAGUACUGUGAAGGAAAGAUGAAAAGCACUUUGAAAAGAGAGUGAAACAGCACGUGAAAUUGUUGAAAGGGAAGGGUAUUGGGCCCGACAUGGGGAUUGCGCAUCUCUGCUCCUUGUGGGCGGGGCGCUGUGCUUUUCCUGGGCCAGCAUCGGUUUUUGCCGCAGGAGAAGGGGUACUGGAAUGUGGCUCCUCGGAGUGUUAUAGCCAGUGCCAGAUGCUGCGUGCGGGGACCGAGGGCUGCGACAUCUGUCUCGGAUGCUGGCACAACGGCGCAAUACCGCCCGUCUUAAAA